GUUGAACGCUGGCGGCAUGCUUCACACAUGCAAGUCGAACGGGCUUAGGUGCUUGCACCUAAGUUAGUGGCGAACGGGUGAGUAAUGCAUCGGAACGUACCGUGUAGUGGGGGAUAACCCGGCGAAAGUCGGAUUAAUACCGCAUACGAUCUAAGGAUGAAAGCAGGGGAUCGCAAGACCUUGCGCUAUACGAGCGGCCGAUGUCGGAUUAGCUAGUUGGUAGGGUAAAGGCCUACCAAGGCAACGAUCCGUAGCGGGUCUGAGAGGAUGAUCCGCCACACUGGGACUGAGACACGGCCCAUACUCCUACGGGAGGCAGCAGUGGGGAAUUUUGGACAAUGGACGAAAGUCUGAUCCAGCCAUGCCGCGUGAGUGAAGAAGGCCUUCGGGUUGUAAAGCUCUUUUGUCCGGGAGCAAAUCCUGUUCACUAAUACUGAGCGGGGCUGAGAGUACCGGAAGAAUAAGCACCGGCUAACUACGUGCCAGCCGCCGCCGUAACAC
rnacentral:rRNA from 1 species